CCUACGGGAGGCAGCAGUGGGGAAUAUUGCACAAUGGUGGGAACUCUGAUGCAGCGACGCCGCGUGAGUGAAGAAGUAAUUCGGUAUGUAAAGCUCUAUCAGCAGGGAAGAAAAUGACGGUACCUGACCAAGAAGCCCCGGCUAAAUACGUGCCAGCAGCCGCGGUAAUACGUAGGGGGCAAGCGUUAUCCGGAUUUACUGGGUGUAAAGGGAGCGUAGUCGGCAGCACAAGUCUGGAGUGAAAUGCCGGGGCUUAACCCCGGGACUGCUUUUGAAACUGUGCAGCUAGAGUGCAGGAGAGGUAAGUGGAAUGCCUGGUGUAGCGGUGAAAUGCGUAGAUAUUAGGAGGAACACCAGUGGCGAAGGCGGCUUGCUGGACUGUAACUGACGCUGAGGCUCGAAAGCGUGGGGAGCAAACAGGAUUAGAUACCCGAGUAGUC
rnacentral:rRNA from 1 species